ACGGCCAUACCAUGCUGAAUAUACCGGUUCUCGUUAGAUCACCGAAGUCAAGCAUCAUUGGGCGCGGUCAGUACUUGGGUGGGUGACCACCUGGGAACACCACGUGC
rnacentral:rRNA from 1 species